UACAGAGGGGGCAAGCGUUAUUCGGAAUUAUUGGGCGUAAAGGGCGCGUAGGCGGCUUGGCAAGUGGAAGGUGAAAUCCCUCGGCUUAACCGAGGAACUGCCCUCCAAACUGCUUCGCUUGAGACCGGGAGAGGUGAGUGGAAUUCCCAGUGUAGCGGUGAAAUGCGUAGAUAUUGGGAGGAACACCAGUGGCGAAGGCGGCUCACUGGGCCGGUACUGACGCUGAUGCGCGAAAGCGUGGGGAGCAAACGGG
rnacentral:rRNA from 1 species